UUGGUUUUCUUGCUCAACACACAAAAAAAUAAAAAAAUACAAAAUUACAAAAUAAAAAUUUGCAUGUACAUACAUCUCCCUACACACCUUUGUGAAAAGUACAGGGUAUACGAAGGAUUAAAAAACGAAAUCUACAAAUACUGACAAGUAUUUGAGGGGUGGGAGGGGGUACCAAAAACAAAAUCGGAAGCGACUUUAUUAAAGAUGAGCACGGCGAUGGCAGAGCUAAGAUCGAGCUAUAGCAAUAAGUGGUCGCUGCUCCAGUGCGACAGUGGUGGGGUAGUUUGGCUCGUUGCUUAGCGCAAGUCAAAGUCGACUCAUUGGCUGCGGCGUUUCCUACUGUCGCCAUCCAGCUCCGGUCUGUCGAGGUAAAAGUUUUGUCGCUAGCUUAAAACGCUGCAGCUGCUGGCUUCUCUUGCAAAAAGUACUUGAGAACAUAUUUGCUAUCAGUUGGCGUCCAGUUGUUGCCGCCAAUCCACCCCGCUCGAUGUUGUUUGUCUGCCUGGGUGCGGAGAGGAGGGAGAGACUGAAACCCCGUUGGCUCUUUGCGUGGCGCUGCUCUGUUUGUUUGUUGCUACUUUUUGGGGUAAGUUUUGGGCCGAGGCAAUUUUUCGUGCCACAUCGUGUCUAAAUAUCAUUUCUGGGUGCUCCGUGCUGCGUGCUGCUUGCUGCGUGCUGCAUGCGGUUGGCAGCGCUGCCAAGUGUUGCAUCCGUUUCCUGUUGAUAGUCAGUGGCAUGUAAAUAGAAGCUGCUUUUACUUGAAUUUAUUUGCGGCACAUCACCAGGGACAGGCACAAGUACCUCUGGCAUACUCCUGCCUGUGAUACAUCAUCCUCUGUUCCCUCUUACCUCUGCCCUCUACCGCCAGCCCGUAUCGUUUGCUGUUUAACAAAGUCAAACAAUUUCAUGCAAUUAAAACCGUUUUUCAUUAAAAAUGCAAAUUUCAAAUGCAAAA